GAUAGCUUUAUUCUGCUGGAGUGGAAGUUUCUUUCUAGUAGUCCUAGUUCUUUGUAUGCCAGAUUCUUACAAGCAAAAAGCUAGUACACGCCGUCGUUACAGAUAUUUACGAUUUAUUUUAAACCCCUAGAACUUCCCACAUGACGUUAUAAAUGGCAGACCAUUGGCCAGACUACGUACAGAAAUACCUGCCUACAACCCUACUCCCAUCCAGAGAGAGAAGACAGGUAGAUAUGAGAGAAGAGUUAGGGAUGUGGGAGUCCACCAGACAUGUGAGUAUGAUCAGGAGGAAGUCAGAGGAAUCUAUUCAAGCCUCUCCCCGAGGCUCCCUCUAGAUUUGAAGGGGGGGGGGGAGGAAAGGUAAAGAAUGACCCCCGGCCCUCCUCCACUCUUGCCAACCUUCCAAGCUCUACUCUUCUAUAAGAACACCCCCUCUUCCCUCACUUUCCAUCUCCCUAUAAUUAACUUCUACCAGCUGAAUUAGUGCCUGCUUUGCGCUUUGUUCCCAUGUGUUGGAUUUAAGCUUGUCAACAGUUUGGAUGAUGAUAUCGCCUUCAGGGUUUCUGGCUUUUGGUUCUCUCUCUCUCUCUCUCUCUGGUUCAAAACUGCAGAUGGGAUGAGGCCAGGUGCAAGUUGACGAAGCUAGCCAGCUUUUGUGCCAAGCCAAGGGAUGCGUAGAGGCUAUGCAGGAAAUCAGUGCUGGUAUCUAAACCAUGGGAGUUAUGUGUGCUCUUUUUUUGUUUCCUCCUAAGUUUUGCUUAUUGUUUUGUUAUUCUAGAAACCAUGUAAACCGUGACUUGAGGUUGUGUUUGGUUUCCUUUCAUCUUUUUUACCUUUUUUUAUGUAUGGAAUUGGAUUUUACAAAUGCAGGAACUUUAGGAAUGUUUUCCAA